CCCGCACCCGCGCCUCGCCUCUCCCCCCUUCCCUCCAAACCAUAGCCCCGCGCCGGCCGGCCGGCCGCCGCCGCCGUCGCCGCCCGCCCGGGCACCUAUCCACGACCUCGCGCUGCCCCUCUCCUCUUCCUCCUGCCUCACCUCUCUCUCCCCUCUCCAAACCCUAACCCUAGCCACCAGCCUUCGCUCCAUGCCGCGCCGUCGCAUAUUCUCCUCCUCCCCGCCCUCCCGGUCCUUAGCGGGAGGAGCGCGGCUUGCCGCCGCAACUGCUCCGCGUCGCUGCUCCCUCGUCGAGCUGGCACGUCCCCGUCACCUGGAGGAGCCGACGCUCCCUGCUGCGCCGUCGCAUGGCAGCUGCUCCGCGUCGCUGGUCCCCCAUCUAGCUCGUCUGUCCCCGUCGCCUGGAGGAGCGGAGGUUGCCGCUCCAGCAUCUUCUCGGCCCUCCUUCCCUCGUCGGCGAGCGGCUCAUGGCAACUCCGAAUUCGUGCUCUGUCGCCUCCAACUUUGGUCCCCGUCUCCACUUCAUUAGGGAGGCAGGUCUGAAUCCAAAUGUGGAACAGGGAAAGGUAAAAGCAGCUCAAUUGGUUGGUUCAAGCUACAGGUUGGCACCUACGCAGAAAGAGGUGAUGGAUUGAAAGGUCAAUCCACAAGAGCGAACUAAGAAGUGCAGGAACCACUCAGAAUAAUCAUCGAUACGGACAAUGACGGUGAAGGCCGUACUUCCUGGGCGAUUCUCAACGUAGAACCAGUUGACCUGACGGAAGAAGCCGACAGCGAGUCGGGCCUGCGGCUUUUGUGGUGGGGUGAGGAAGAGGAGGACGAGGAGUGAAACGCUGUCCAUUGAUGAUGUCGCCUUGCUGCUAGGAGAAGGCGAGAGGAGGAGGCAGGAGCCUGGACCAGAAGCACAGAAGGAUGAGGCUAUUCACGCGGUUGAAGUCGCUCAUCUACCUAUUGUUUAGUAUUUACUUGCAAUACACACAACCUGAUUUUCAACUCAAUCAAGAGUCGACCUAAUUAGUAGACGAACAAAAAAAACUACUCAUUGCGGCCAUAUGAUGAACCAAAAGGAAAAUUCUAUAUAUACAUAUAUUAUUUCAAGGAAAAUUCUGCUCACAGGAAAUACAUUAUUAGGACAUCAUAGAGGAUGUCACAUUUAUGUGUAGCAAGCCAUGCUUCCUAUUUGCUGUGGUUGUUUUUGGUGUUAUGUUUCGGGGUAUAUAUCUAGGACAAUGAAUCUGAAGUUGGGUAUUUAGAUGGGUUGCAGUUUGUUGAAGCUAAACAUCUAAGCACAUUAAAAUGGGACAUUCUUGCAAUUAUGUUGAUUUAUGGUGAGAUAACCUAGAGAAGUAUCGAUGUGUAUCUUCAGUUCAUAGUUGUCAUGUUUGUUACUACAAACCUGAAAGCUAUAAACUCAAGAUGUUCUUCUCACAUGAAAGUAUAGUCUCUCUUUUGAUUUAUUUAAUUCCCAUUUCUGGCAAAAACUAAAUAAUGUACUGAAUUGUAGUUUUGUAUUACUUAUAUAUUAUUUCAUCAAGCAGUGGUAUGCAUUGGCAUCCAGUGAUGUUUAUUUCUUUUGAAUGUUUGAUAGGUAAUUGCAGGAGUUGAUGAUAUGUAUCGUCCAGCACCGUUACUUGAGGUCGCCGCUGGAGCCGGACAAGGUAAUGGCUUACCUUACCCGGUGAGGUGCUGAGUAGGAAGAGCGCAAGACACCACCACCACCACCAGGUACUAGAGGGCGCCAUCGAGGAUGUCGCCGUACUGAUUGCCGAUAACCUAUAGGUCCAUCUCUUCUCUCUCUCUCUCUCUCUCUCUCUCUCUCUUUGUAGUUCUGGAUUAGGCUUACCUGAACUAAAUGUGACAAAAUAUCUUAAACAAGCUCUGUGAUUUCCUAUGCUCUCUUAUAUUAUCAAAGAAAAAAGAACUGCUCUUAUAUUUUAUUUGUUAGUUCCUUUAUACUCCAAAAGAAAAUAGAACUGACUAACAAAACUCUGUUGAUGAUGAAUAAUGCAGUGUAUAUAAUUCUGGGGCCCCUUUUCUUUCAUUUGUUGCUCAGUUAGCUUGUUGUUCUUACCUGCUGUUCUGAUUUUGUUUUCUGGGUGCUGUAUAGGAUACUAUGGUUAAAGAUUGCUCUGAUUUAUAUUGAUUUUGUUGAUUAUCAAAAUCAGUGGAUAUUAUCUAGGGUGCUUCUCCUUUGGAUUUGAUGUACUAUGUCUUUCCAGCUUAUACUAGAUGAUUUCUUUUCAUGGUUUUUGAUAAUUAUGGAUAUGUAUCUAAUAAUCUUAUUUUGGCGUCAACAAAUUACUCAUCUAGCAUUUCUUCUAUUACAGCUCUGUAUCUUUUUCUUUACAUGGUUACUGCACUAUUGAAGUAGUUGAUUCUGGACUCUUUCCAUUUUACCUUGCUUGGCUGACCAGAGCCCAAAAAUAACAUUUAGUUCUGGUUGUUUUGAUUGAGUAAGUGACACCUAACUGUCAUUGAUUUCUGGGAUUGUUCAUUAUCUUGAGCCGUGCCUGGUACUGAAUCUGAAUGUGUUUCCAUCUCUGGUACCAUGGCACGGGGUUGGCGGCGGCAUCUUGGUGAAGAAGAGGACGACAGUGGCUUAGGGAGGAAGAUGACAGUGGCUCUCAUUGAAUUUCUCAUUAUAAUAAAUUGAGGAGUGUUGAGAAGAAUCUAUUUGGGUUGCUCUCAUUGAAUUUCUCAUUAAGACAUGCACUCAGUUCUGGUUUAUCAAGUUAUGUAUAAUAUGUAUAUGUUGAUAUGCAUGGCAUCACUCAAAUGUGUGUAUUCCUGCUGUUGAAUUUUAGAAUCAGCACUCUGUUUUCUUUUCAAGCUUCUCUCGAAACCAUCUUUGAGAAAAAUUCUUUACUAAGUAAUGAUUUCUUCUUUUCUGUAGUAUUCCUCAAGUUUAUGAAUGAACUGAUAGAUGUCAUCUACUGCCUAUUAAGUAGGCUAUGCAAAAUAUGUUUUCAUGUAACUUGUACCCAUGCACCAGUGAUAAAGCUGAUAAUUUUCAUUUUAUCUCAGGGUUCCUCCGUCCAUUUAUCUCCUUUUAUGUUCAGUGGUGAAGAGGGUUAUAUUCCUAACUAUGUAGAGAUUAUUAAGGGUGUCAAGUUACUUCUCAUAAGUGAUCGGGACUAUGAGAUCAUUAAGGGGCAUUGAGCCGCUGCCCAGAGGUAUACUUUCUUUUAUUUCUUAUAUAUUUCAACCACUUAGUUUUGUUGUCUCUAAACCAUUUUCGAUGACUCAAGUUGAUCAUACUAUUGUGAGAAUCUUAGCCAGGAUCAUUCUUUAUAUCAUGUUGGAUCAUCUUAGAAUUCGUAGAGCCAGUUACCAUCGAAGGAUGUACUCAUAGAACACAAUCAGUGUAAUUGUUCUUUUCUACACUUCUGCCUAGAGCAAUGGGAUAUGUAUGAUGUAUUGUAUGGCUACCCUCUAAUGCACUACUCAGCCUCCUGUACAAAUGACUUGAUCUAAUUAUUAUGAAAGACGUGUGGAGUGUGUUGCUUUAUAUAUAAAUAAUUUGCUAUAA